CCUUGUAAGCAGACAUGAACAGUCCUCAGCUUUCUGACUCCCGCAUAACUGGCUUACUGAGGGAAAAGAAAUGAAACAUCAGAGUUUACGCCCCUCGUCGGAUGGAAGGCGAGCGAGAGCAGUGAGCCCGCGAGCAUUGUGGAUGCAAGUCAGGAGCUGACCAGUUGGCUGUGGACCAGUCGCUUCUGUCAGUGAGAUAAGUGUCUGGUUUGGUGAGUGCUCUGCUCACGCUCCACCUGAGUCCAGGUAGGGAAGCCCAGUACGGUAGGGCUGGGUUUGUAUGAAAAGGUUCCUGACUAGUUGUGGUCAUGAGGCAGAAAAGGUCCUUAUUUUCAGAGGUUGCUCAUUUCUCUGGUCAGGAACGGUGUCUCCUCCGCAGAGUAAUGUUGGAUUCAGGAAGAUGAUUCCAGGUGGUCAGUUGCUUGCUUUCCUCUCAUUUUUCUCUCUCUCUCUUCUCUAAUGUGUUGGCCAACUUUCUCACUCUCUUUUCUCUCCGUUCCUCGUGCCGUCUCCCUUCGUAGGAGACAGGCAGGCUUGCUAGGUGUGCAUCUCCGCAGGCCAGGUUUCGGGAGCCAUGGAAAAGUAGGAGGGGAUGAAAAUCAUGCAGGGCUGUGACUGUUGGUGUUAACUCGGUCUCUGUUCAUCGAGUGGGGCUGAUGUAGAUGGGAUCGGAGAGGGAGGCCAGGAUGAGGGCAAGUUUUGAAGCGACAUAUGGAGCUUUAAGUAGUGAUGUCUCAUGCUCGGCUUUUGCAGCUGCACAUACAGAGGAAUUUUCCAAGAGCCCCAGCCCGAGGAGAAAGUGGCAGAAUUGGACAUGAGCAGACUGGACAUCCUUGUAAGCAGACAUGAACAGUCCUCAGCUUUCUGACUCCCGCAUAACUGGCUGCGAGUAAGCGGUCAGUGCUUUGAAUUCCUCAUCUGUGCUCGCUGUAGUAUUCUUCAUAGGCCGUGUGCUUCCUUGUUAGUUACGAGGCUCUGGGAUUAAGGCUGGGGAAGGGACGAGUCUCCUGAGCAAAGUGAGUAUUUUGGGUGCCGUUACAAUGGGUGCCUUCUAGUUGCAGUUGUAACAUAGUAAUGGGAGAUGGGUUGAGGGCGGACCGUGGGAUAUGGGAGAUGUGAAAUGAAGAGACUACACGACAUUACAGACGGAGAUGCUAAUUUUUUUGUUUCCUCCCUCCCGCCGCUAGGUUUAGUAUCAAGGAAAAAGAAGUCACGCGUCAGAGUCUACUGCCCUCAUGCGAUGGAAAGCGAGCGAGAGCGUCGAAACUCUGAGCAUUGUUGAUGCCACGCAAAAGCCGUCCAUCUGGGAGCCGAGGAGACGCUGCUGUCCAUGAGAUAAGUGUUUGGUUUGGUGAGGGUUCUGCUCAUGCCCAACCUGAGUCCAGGUAGAGAAGCCCACUACGGUAGGGCUGGGUUUGUAUGAAAAGAUUCCUGACUAGCUGUGGUCACGAGGGAGAAAAUGUCCCUACUUUGAGAGGUUGCUCAUUUCUCUGGUCAGGAACGGUGUCUCCUCCGCAUCAGAAGGUUGCAUCCAGGAGGAUGACUCCAGGUGGUGAGUUGCUUGCUUUCCUCCCAUGUUUUUAUUUCUCUCUUUGUCUGUCUGUCUGUCUCUCUCUCUCUCUCUCUCUCUCUCUCUCUCUC